rnacentral:rRNA from 1 species
AUUGAACGCUGGCGGCAGGCCUAACACAUGCAAGUCGAACGAGUGGCGGACGGGUGAGUAAUGUCUGGGAAACUGCCUGAUGGAGGGGGAUAACUAUUGGAAACGGUAGUUAAUACCGCAUAACAUCAGAUGUGCCCCGAUGGGAUUAGCUAGUUGGUGGGGUAACGGCUCACCAAGGCGACGAUCCCUUGCUGGUCUGAGAGGAUGACCAGCCACACUGGAACUGAGACACGGUCCAGACUCCUACGGGAGGCAGCAGUGGGGAAUAUUGCGCAAUGGGCGCAAGCCGGAUGCAGCCAAGCCGCGUGUAUGAAGAAGGCCUUCGGGUUGUAAAGUACUUUCAGCGGGAAGGCGUUACCCGCAGAAGAAGCACCGGCUAACUCCGUGCCAGCAGCCGCGGUAAUUC